CUAGUGGAGCAAAUGAUGUCUUGAAUACUAACGGCUCAUCUGUUGGCUCCAUGAAAAAGAUAUAUUUCUGGUUCUUCUUUACUUUGAUGCAUGGUGUUUCUGAUCCAAAGUCCCCGAUCGUGACAAGCUGAUCCCUCGCUAGACCCCCGCUAUGAACUGGCCACACGUCCAACACUUUGACAUUAAUACUGUAAGGCUCGGUGGUAUGAUUUGGGACUGACUGCACUUUGCCUUCGAUCACCACCGCUGAACGAUAGGCUUGGUCCUGCAAAGAAUUUAAGCUCGGGGAAUAGCAGGCAAACGACACCCCCGCGACCAGCAUGGCAAAAUGGACAGCACCAAGCCCCAUGGUUGAAAGGCACGGCCGCGCUCGGCUGCACUGAGGUGUAGAGCGGCGCUGAGUUGGAAGGCAGAGUUGUGACAAAGUGGGCUGCAAAUCGCCUCGAGUUGCACGGCUGAGCAAGAGACCUUGCACCGCUGGGUAUGAGAAUCCUCGCUGCUGCCUGCACACCUACUCUGAACAGAAACCGCGGUACUAGCGAAAGAAAACAACCUGAACAGGAAUAGGAGGAGCGACAGAAGAUGCAACAGAACAUCCGCAAACCACAGGGAGGAGGCAAAAGCGUGGGGCCGUUGCAGGCCUAAGAUGGUAUCUGCGGAGGCCACCCAUAUUUCUCACCGGGGCCAUGUGGACACCAUUCUAAAUCAACCAUUAGCCCAGGCCCUGGGUGAGUGCACCAGCAGACCGGUGAGGAGGCAAAUUGUGACAGCAGUCAGCGUGUGGAUUCUUCCGUAACACUGUACGGGGGAAUUAUCGUACAGGAGCAUGGAGGACCCUUCCCUACUCUGACCAGCAUGAUUUAAAUCAACUACUUUUCAACAGUCACUGCAUGAUUUCUGCUAGCUGUGGCUGUGUCAGUAGAGCCAUAUAGAUGUGAUCAUAGCCUUUGGAGCCACCAGGAUCAUUAUUAAACACACCAAAGAGAUGCUGAAGGAGAGGUUCACACUAGGACUGGGAGCUCCCAAUAAUAUGACUCAUGAAGAAGUUGAAGAAAUGGACUUGGGUUGUGAAACUUCGCUACCUUAUCGAUAGAGGGGCCUGGAUUUGAAAUGGGCACAGGAAUUGGACAAGCAAGAUACAGUUAAUUCUUGAUGAGUUAGAUCUCAGGGGAAUCACCUUGCAGUCCAGGUUAAGCAGAGCUUUGUGAUGGCUGAGGGUGUCUAAUGUGUUAUAAGGUGGUGUCCCUAUGGAACAUGAAGUGCCUACAAAUGAAGUUUAUGGCAUACUAUAAUAUUUGGACUCUUUGCGUCACUGUGACAAUUAUUUCUACAUCUCAUAUUUGUGUGCCAAAUAAAAAUACAAUGCUAUAAAACACAGCAAGAAAGGGAAAUAAAAAUAACAAUUGACCAUUUAAAAUAGAAUGGGAUUUAGGACUAGGAUAAAUUAAUAAUCCUUUUCUGCAAUGUUUGCAACUUUUGGACGUGUGUGAUUUUUGUCUGCUAUGUUGUUAAUACAGCCAAAUGUAUUUUUGGCAUUUUCACGCUACAAUGUGAAAUCCAGGAUCGUCUCUAUAGCCUUCACAACAUCACUCAGGCGCAGGUAGGCAUUCAUUGGACACCUCAGGAUCAUCAGCCUCUUUGGUUGAAGAAUGCAUGUAUAGUGGCAUUGUCUGUUAAUUCUGUCGUGCAUUG